AACUGACAAGCCCGUGGAUGUCUACAAAGAGUGAACUGAUCACUGUGGGCUGGCCUUUGAGGCAUCAGCAAGUUACAAGCGGUAAUACAAAGAGACAGGAUUAUAUGGUCUCCAAGGUCCCAUCCAGCCCAUUUAACACAGCGUUGUGGCUCUGGAGACCUGGAAGCACCACUAACUGUUCUCCUGAUUUUCUGAUGCUCAGCCACAUCAACCUGUCAUGCUAGUUGUGAGGAGAAGUCAAGGACAGUGACACAGCCAGCCAGUCUGAGGGGUUUUCCAUCAUCCUGAAGGAGUUGCCCUAUCCUGCUUUUCACUGGAGGGGGCAUGGAUGGGGACCCUGGAUGACAAAGCAGUCACCUACUUGAACACUACUAAUUAUGAUGUCAGAAAGAGGAAAGUUUGCAGAGUUUUGUAUUGGCAAUCAAACAUUCAGCCACAGGUCACAGUCUAGAACCAGACACAUCAGUGUCCUGAACUGCAAAGUAGCCAGGAAGCAGCAUCCCAUAACACAGUCCUAUGUCCACUGCUUUGGAGAAGUACCAAUGUGAUUGAAGCAAGGGAAAUUGCUAUGGGAUAUCUGGCCAACUGGAUAUUCUGCUGGAAGAGCAGAAU
rnacentral:antisense_RNA from 1 species